rnacentral:rRNA from 1 species
UACGGGGGGGGCAAGCGUUGUUCGGAAUUACUGGGCGUAAAGGGCUCGUAGGCGGCCAACUAAGUCAGACGUGAAAUCCCUCAGCUUAACUGGGGAACUGCGUCUGAUACUGGAUGGCUUGAGUUUGGGAGAGGGAUGCGGAAUUCCAGGUGUAGCGGUGAAAUGCGUAGAUAUCUGGAGGAACACCGGUGGCGAAGGCGGCAUCCUGGACCAAUACUGACGCUGAGGAGCGAAAGCCAGGGGAGCAAACGGG